rnacentral:rRNA from 1 species
CCUACGGGAGGCAGCAGUGGGGAAUCUUGCGCAAUGGGCGAAAGCCUGACGCAGCAACGCCGCGUGCGGGAAGAAGGCUUUCGGGCUGUAAACCGCUUUCAGCAGGAACGAAAAUGACGGUACCUGCAGAAGAAGGAGCGGCCAACUAUGUGCCAGCAGCCGCGGUGAUACAUAGGCUUCAAGCGUUGUCCGGAUUUAUUGGGCGUAAAGAGUUCGUAGGCGGUCAAGUAAGUCGGGUGUGAAAAUUCUGGGCUCAACCCAGAGACGCCACCCGAUACUGCUUAACUUGAGUUCGAUAGGGGAGUGGGGAAUUCCUAGUGUAGCGGUGAAAUGCGCAGAUAUUAGGAGGAACACCGGUGGCGAAGGCGCCACUCUGGAUCGAUACUGACGCUGAGGAACGAAAGCAUGGGUAGCAAACAGGAUUAGAUACCCUGGUAGUCCAUGCCGUAAACGGUGGGCACUAGGUGUGGGUUUCUAUUAACGAAAUCCGCGCCGUCGCUAACGCAUUAAGUGCCCCGCCUGGGGGAGGUACGGUCGCGAGACUAAACUUAAAUAGAAUAGACGGCGUGAGACGUGCCGAACGGACGACGACGAGGGAGUAGG